UUUCCGUAGGUGAACCUGCGGAAGGAUCAUUCAUAAUAAAGUGUUUUAUGGCACUUUUUAAAAAUCCAUAUCCACCUUGUGUGCAAUGUUAGAUCUCGUCAAUCUUGGCGAGAUUUUUAUACAUCAACUCAUUCUUUAACUAAUUUGUCUGAAAAAUAUUAUGAUUACUUAAUUCAAGAUACAACUUUCAACAACGGAUCUCUUGGCUCUC
rnacentral:misc_RNA from 1 species